CGCUGUUGCUGGGCCACCUUCUGGAACAGUUGUUCGAUCCUGCUGUUCUGAGCCUUGAGCUGCGUCUGGGGAAUGGUGCAAAUCUUGAUAACAAGAAAGAUUGCACAUUUAUCCAAGUCCACACAAUUAUCUAGACACAGGGCUGAGAAUGGAACGAAUGGAACCCGG